GCCAGCGUGAUGUAUUGGUUUGAGUGUUGGACUAUGAUUCUGGAGACCAGGGUUCAAUUCCCAGCUCUGCG
rnacentral:tRNA from 1 species